ACCCCCUCUCUGCUGAUGAUGGGGUUUGGUGGGGGUUAGACAAUGUGUGUGUUUAUGUGUGUGUGUGUGUGUGUGUGUGUGUGUGUGUGUGUGUGUGUGUGUGUGUGUGUGUGUGUGUGUGUGUGUGUGUGUGUGUGUGUGUGUUUGCCAUCCAACAAUGUAGCUCUGAAAAUGAAAGCUUUUCCUCAUUAUAACUUUUUCACUCAAUGCCGAGCCCCCCCCCCCCUAAAGGAUGUAAAGGAUGCAGCGAUGUGAGACCUUCACCUCCACCUGUUCCUUUACCUCCCGCUCUGAAAGUCCCGAGCCCCCCUAAAGGAUGUAAAGGAUGCAGGUGAGAGCCCACAUAUCAUAACAGCCUCAUUGAGAGCUAUCAGGGCCAGAAAUUGUAAAGCUCUACUCCCUCCGUAUGUCCAAGCACCAUUUAGAGGCUGCAAUCCACAGACCUGUGAUUGAAAGGCAAGAUCAAUACCCAAACCAAGCAGGGAAGAGAUUCUCUAAUUUGUCAGUAAAUGAGCUUGCUGCAGUCUAAAAUCCAAAUACAUACAGAGGCUGGGGCAGUCAUCCCAAAACUAAUAUUCUCACAGCACAUUUACUCACAGGCUACAGCACAUUCAUGGAUGGGAAUUCAAUUUAAUGGGAACCACUGAUAGUCACAUUUGAUUUGUGGAUCAAAUGUGCCAAAUUUGGAUCAGCAUGGAAUACACUUCUUAUUUAAUGGUGUUCAUGCCUAAUUCUCCUUUAGCUGAAGUCUUUAUUCAAUGUUGUUUUUAUUAUAGUUUAUUUUGAUAUUUGCUGUGUUUUGUUAACAGGGGAUCUCUUAUCGAGAAAGUGAUGGCACGACAUUCUCAGACAUGGAAAAAGCAGCAAGAAAACUCUUCAAAUUUCAGGUACUAAAAACUAUUGUGUUUACGUUUGUGUAAUGAAAGAAACAUUGUAAAACAGCCAUAAAUGUGUCCUUUAUGUUUGCGUAAAACACAUGCAAAAUACAUUCACCGCAAACUUUUUCAGGUAGUGUUCUAGUAGUAUUAAAAGGUACAACCUUCUUGGCAUUAUGUAACU
rnacentral:lncRNA from 1 species